rnacentral:lncRNA from 1 species
UUUUGGAGAAUUAACCUGAACAAUAUUGACAAUCAUAUGUUAUUGUGGUGUCUUUGUAUGACAUUAUGCUUCAUUAUGGCUAUAUCAUUGACAAAAAUUGCAACAAGAUGUUGACCACAAUAUCCACCACCACUAUUCCAACCAACCAAGGUAAGAGCAUGUGCACAUGAUAUACUUAAUAUGUUUCUUCUCAUUAUCAUUAUCUUUGCUCUUUCUCCUUCACCAACCAUUUUUUUUUCUAUGUUACUUUCUCUUCUUCUUCAACCACCACAUUAAUAUCACUCACAUAACAUACAUGUAUAAUAUAUAGUCCACAUCACUCAAACAUAGUAUAAGGUGGCAGUUUCUUU